AAUUUAAAACACUGCACGAGGAACAAUUGGAGGGCAAGUCUGGUGCCAGCAGCCGCGGUAAUUCCAGCUCCAAUAGCGUAUAUUAAAGUUGUUGCAGUUAAAAAGCUCGUAGUUGAAUUUCUAGUCAGUUAAUUUGGAGGUCUCCUUCACUUUAGCUGGCUAUUCGACACUGAACCAUGCCGGUUAUUAAGUUAACCCCAUGGAGAAUUGUCAUUUUACUUUGAAAAAAUUAGAGUGUUUCAGGCAGGCAAUUGCCCGGAUAUCUUAGCAUGGAAUAAUGGAAUAGGACUUUGGUUCAUUUUAUUGGUUAUUGAAUCAGAGUAAUGAUUAAUAGGGACAGUUGGGGGCAUUAGUAUUUAAUUGUCAGAGGUGAAAUUCUUGGAUUUAUUAAAGACUAACUUAUGCGAAAGCAUUUGCCAAGGAUGUUUUCAUUAAUCAAGAACGAAAGUUAGGGGAUCAAAGACGAUCAGAUACCGUCCUAGUCUUAACUAUAAACUAUACCGACUCAGGAUUGGCGAUGCACUAGCUUCGUCAGCACUGUAUGAGAAAUUAAAGUCUUUGGGUUCUGGGGGGAGUAUGGUCGCAAGGCUGAAACUUAAAGGAAUUGACGGAAGGGCACCACCAGGAGUGGAGCCUG
rnacentral:rRNA from 1 species